rnacentral:rRNA from 1 species
GAUCAUGGCUCAGAACGAACGCUGGCGGCAGGCUUAACACAUGCAAGUUGAACGGGAUUUGUGUGGUGCUUGCACCAUAUAAUGAGAGUAGCGCACUGGUGAGUAACACGUGGGAACGUACCUUUUGGUGGGGGACGAACAUCUGGAAACGGAUGCUAAUACCGCAUAAGACCUGAGGGUGGAAAGAUUUAUCGCCGAAAGAAACGGCCGCGGAAGAUUAGGCAGUUGGUGGGGGUAAAGGGACCUACCAAACCCUACG